rnacentral:lncRNA from 1 species
CUGACUUCUACAAGGGGGCUGAAACCAUUCAAUGUGGAAAGAAUAGUCUCAGCAAAUGGUGCUGGGACAGCUGGAUAUCCACAUGCAAAAAGAAUGAGGCCGGAGCCCUCGUACCAUAUACCUCAUAACACAAAUUACCACAAAUUGACCAACAACCUAAAUGUUAGGAGCUAAAACCAAAACUCUUAGAAGAAAACAUAGGAGUAAAUCUUCAUGACCUUCGAUCAUGAGGGUCCUUAGGCUCAACAAUAAAAGUAUGAGCAACAACAAAAAUCUAUAUAUAAACUACUCUUCAUCAAAACUUAAAACUUCUGUGCCUCAAAGGAUGCCAUCAAGGAAGUGACAUGACAACCUGUGGAGUGGAGGAAACAUGCAAAUCAUACCUGAUCAGAGACCCGCGUCUAAAAUAAAGAGCUCUGACAACUGAACAAUAAAAAGACAAACAACCCAGUUCAGACAUGGGCAAAUCAUACCUGAUCAGAGACCCAUAUCUAAAAUAAAGAGCUCUGACAACUAAACAAUAAAAAGACAACCCAAUUCAGACAGGGGCAAAGGACCUAAAAAGACAUUUCUGCAAGGAAGAUAUGCAAAUGGCCAGUAAUCACACCGAAAAGAUCCUUGACAUCAUUAGUCAGCAGGGAAAUGCACAUCAAAACCACUAGGAUGGCGGGAAUUAAAAAGUCAGAUAAUAAUAAGCAUUGGUGAGGACGUGGAGAGAUCAGAACCCUCUACGCUGCUGGUGGGACUGUAAAGUGGUACAGCUGCUCUGGAAAACAGUCUGGCAGUUCCUUAAAGGAUUAAACCAAUAGUUACCGCAUGACCCAGUAAUUGCACUCCUAGGUAUAUACCCAAGAGAAAUGAAAACCUAUGUCCACAUGAGGUCCUGUACACAAAUAUUUAUAGCAGCACAGCACAAAAGCCAGAAAGUAGAAACCACCAAAGUGUCAAUCAACUAACGAAAGGAAAAGUGGCCGGGCGCGGUGGCUCACGCCUGUAAUCCCAGCACUUUGGGAGGCCGAGGCGGGCAGAUCACCAGGUCAGGCGUUCGAGACAAGUCUGGCCAACGCGGUGAAACCCCGUCUCUACUAAAAAUACAAAAAUUAGCUGGGCGUGGUGGCGGGCGCCUGUAGUCCCAGCUCCUCAGGAGGCUGAGGCAGGAGAAUCGCUUGAACCCGGGAGGUGGAGUUUGCAGUGAGGUGAGAUCGCGCCACUGCACUGCAGCCUGGGAGACAGAACUAGACUCCGUCUCAAAAAAAAAAAAAAAAGAAAGAAAGAAAAGAAAGGAUAAGCAAAACAUGGUAUAUCCACUCAAUGGAACACGAUUCAACCAUAAAACAAGGACGCAUGCUGCAUGCUACAACAUGGAUGAAUCUUGAAAACAUGCUAAGUGGAAGAAGCCAGACACAGAAGACUCUAUGUACUAUGAUUCCAUUCAUAUGAAAGUCCAGCAGAGGGAGCUCUCUAGUGACAGAAAGUACAUUAGCGGUUGCUCAGGACUGGAGGGUGGAGGGGAUGGGGAAGGCAGUAACAGCUAAAAGGUACAAGGUUUCUUUCUGAGGUCACGAAAAUGUUCUAAAAUUGUGCUGAUGGAUGCCUGUAUCUGUGAAUAUGCUUAAAACCAAUAAAUUGUACACUUUGGGUGAAUUUUAUGUUAUAUGAAUUAUCUCAAUAAUGCCUGCUUUAAAAAAGUUAUGUGCAGGCCAGGCACGGUGGCUCAUGCCUGUAAUCCCAGCACUUUGGGAGGCUGAGGCAGGUGGAUCACUUGAGGUCAGGAGUUCGAGACCAGCCUGGCCAACAUAGGGAAACCCUGUCUCUACUAAAAAUACAAAAAUUAGCCAGGCAUGGUGGCACACGCCUAUAAUCCCAGCUAUUCAGGAGGCUGAGGCAGAAGAAUUGCUUGAACCCAGGAGGCGGAGGCUGCAGCGAGCCGAGAUCGCACCAUUGCACUCCAGCCUGGGUGACAGGGUAAGACUCCAUCUCAAAAAAAAAAAAAAAAAGGCCGGGCGCGGUGGCUCACAUCUGUAAUCCCAGCACUUUGGGAGGCCGAGGCAGGUGGAUCACAAGUUCAGGAGAUCGAGACCAUCCUGGCUAACAUGGUGAAACCCCAUCUCUACUAAAAAUACAAAAAAUUAGCCGGGCGCAGUGGCAGGCGCCUGUAGUCCCAGCUACUCAGGAGGCUGAGGCAGGAGAAUGGCAUGAACCCAGGAGGCGGAGCUUGCAGUGAGCCAAGAUCGCCCCACUGCACUCCAGCCUGGGCGACAGAGUGAGACUCCAUCUCAAAAAAAAAAAAAAAAAGUAACGUGCAGAACAGUGUUUUCAGUAUGUUGUCUUUUGUGUAGGAAAAUGGAGAAGGGAAAUACAAAUUUUGUCCUCAUUUUAAUAAAGAAAUGAAACUAAUAAGAUGGUUCACUAAAUGAGGAGGGAAAGAACUGCAUAAUGGGACUGGAGAUCGGCGAGGCUUCUCUGAAUGAACCUUGUUUUACAGUUUUGACUUUAGAACCAAAAAAAAGGUUUUAAAAACAAUAAAAAGAAAAGGCAACACCUAAAAAUUGAAAACAUACUGAAAUAAGUAAACCUAGUUAUCAUGUGGAUGGCAUAACCACACAGGAAAAAAAUAUCAUUGCAAGCGAUUUUAAUAAGAGUAGUCUGUUCACCCCUAAUGGAAUAUGGUCUAAGGAUAAAAAGCAUCGCCAAGGAAUGUUAGGCUAUACUCAGUGAUCUUAAUGUUAGUAGUAAUACCUGAAUUGUUAUUUUGAAAUGAUUGCAUGUAUAUGGUAGGAUAAAGAAAAUAAUUGUUAACGCCACCAAGAUUUUCAGUGUAAAGAAUUAAAAAUAUAAAAUGAAAGAAGUUAAAAAUCUUGUUUGUUUUGGCUGGGCGCAGUGGCUCACACCUGUAAUCCCAGCACUUUGGGAGGCUGAAACGGGCAGUUGACUUGAGGUCAGGAGUUUGAAUCCAGCCUGGACAACAUGGUGAAACCCCGUCUCUACUAAAAUACAAAAAUUAGCCAGGCAUGGUGGUGCGCGCCUGUAGUACCAGCUACUCGGGAGGCUGAGGUGGGAGAAUCACUUGAACCCAGGAGGCAGAGGUUACAGUGAGCUGAGAUCGCGACACUGCACUCCAGCCUGGGCAACAGAGCAAGACUCCAUCUCAAAAUAAAUAAAUAAAAUCUUGUUUGUCUUUUGAUUCUGUUAAUUUGAAAUGGAAAUAUUAGUAUGAACUCAUAAUGUGUUUAUUUUUUAAAGAAGCCUAAUUUUCUAGUUCUGUUCAUUGAAAGGCCUGAAGCUGUGACAUCCCAUAAUAGGGAGCGGUGUGAGUGCCAGGCUGUGGGCUCUAGAUCUCGUUCUCACCAAGAAGCCAGUGAUCUUUGGAGAAAUGGGUGAUUCCAAGACUGAAGCAGGAUGUGGACAAAAUAAGCCCAGGACAUGUUGUGUAAAAAGCAAGCAAGCUUUCAAAACAGCAGACCAUGUCCUGAGGGCGGGGAGCCAACCUGAAGGGCUCCCGCUGUCCAAAGACAGAAUAAAUUGAGCAUCAGGAAAACAACUGACAGCAAUGGACGGAAGCCCAUGAAAUAUACCAAUAUCUCUGUGUUCAUCGUGAUGCUCAGAAAGAAGAAGCAACCUAGUGGGCAACUUUGGAGCUUGCUGAGGACCAACUCGGUCUGCAGGCACACAAGCAAAGGAGCAGGGUGGAGCCUUCACGCUGCCGUGCCUGUGUGGACCAGUCCAGGGUGACCACGGGGUAGGUGAGGGAAAGCCUGUCUUCACAGACCACUCUCCAGCUGGUGAGGGCAGGAGCGACAGGGACAGACACAGGUCUGUGAGAGGACAGCCCUUGGAUCAGGGAUCUCGAUGUCUUGCUCGAGCCAUCAGGUGCAAGGCCCGUGGGGACUUUUUUCUGGGUUGGUCAGGCUGCCAGCACUGGACCAGUGACCAGUCCUCGUGUCACUCGAGUGGGACUUGGACACAUCACAGGCCGCCUGGGCUGGCUGGGGGUGCACACGCAUCCCUGGGCAGCAGCCCUGCAAAGACCAUCUGAACCUAAAUCCUAUCAAGCACCUCUCUCUAGUGAGAGUUCACAGGAAACACAGGGGUGGGAUCAAGUGAGCAGUAAGUCACAUCCAUUAGAGCACCAGGAGGGACCUCAGGAUCCAAGCAGCAGAAACCGUGUUCAGGGGCAAAGCCAGCAAGGGUCGGGGUGGGGAGGGGCCACAGGCCAGUGGGGGCUCAGCACUGAAGGCCCCGCUCCUCCCUCCCUCUCCCUCCUCCUUCUCCUCCUCCUUGUUUUUGUUUGUCUUCCUUCCUUCCAGUAAUGAGGUCAGGGCCGAGCACACUGCGGCCUGUCUCCUCACCUCUGCUCUCUC